rnacentral:rRNA from 1 species
GAUGAACGCUGGCGGCGUGCCUAAUACAUGCAAGUCGAGCGAAUGGAUUAAGAGCUUGCUCUUAUGAAGUUAGCGGCGGACGGGUGAGUAACACGUGGGUAACCUGCCCAUAAGACUGGGAUAACUCCGGGAAACCGGGGCUAAUACCGGAUAAUAUUUUGAACUGCAUGGUUCAAAAUUGAAAGGCGGCUUCGGCUGUCACUUAUGGAUGGACCCGCGUCGCAUUAGCUAGUUGGUGAGGUAACGGCUCACCAAGGCAACGAUGCGUAGCCGACGUGAGAGGGUGAUCGGCCACACUGGGACUGAGACACGGCCCAGACUCCUACGGGAGGCAGCAGUAGGGAAUCUUCCGCAAUGGACGAAAGUCUGACGGAGCAACGCCGCGUGAGUGAUGAUGGCUUUCGGGUCGUAGAACUCUGUUGUUAGGGAAGAACAAGUGCUAGUUGAAUAAGCUGGCACCUUGACGGUACCUAACCAGAAAGCCACGGCUAACUACGUGCCAGCCGCCGCAGUAA